rnacentral:lncRNA from 1 species
UAUACUCUUAGUUACCACCAGCGAAGAGAUUCCUACCUAUCCUGGCAGGCAAUUGUUCAGUUUUGCAAAGCUUCAAAUAACUUUACAGCUUGAAAUUCUGAGUUCCUUCUCUGCACCACAGGAGGAGAGGGAAAGGAUGGAGUCUAUGGUGGGUGACACAGUGCCUGCCCAUUAUGCACAGCUCUAAGCACAUCUUUAAAGAUGAGACC